UAGCUCCUACGGGGCGCAGCAGUGGGGAAUAUUGGGCAAUGGACGCAAGUCUGACCCAGCAACGCCGCGUGAAGGAAGAAGGCUUUCGGGUUGUAAACUUCUUUUAAGGGGGAAGAGCAGAAGACGGUACCCCUUGAAUAAGCCACGGCUAACUCCGUGCCAGCAGCCGCGGUAAUACGGAGGGUGCGAGCGUUAAUCGGAAUUACUGGGCGUAAAGCGCUCGUAGGCGGUAUGUCAAGUCAAGGGUGAAAUCCCCGCGCUCAACGUGGGAACUGCCUUUGAAACUGGCAAACUGGAGUGUGUGG
rnacentral:rRNA from 1 species